rnacentral:rRNA from 1 species
GAGGAAAGAGGGAGGCGUGCCUAAUACAUGCAAGUCGAGCGAACAGACGAGGAGCUUGCUCCUCUGUCGUUAGCGGCGGACGGGUGAGUAAAACGUGGAUAAACUCUAUAUAUGACUGGGAUAAAUUCGGGGAAAAGGAGCUAAUAUCGGAUAAUAUAUUGAACUGCAUGGUUCACUAGUGAAAGACGGUUUUGCUGUCUCUUUUAGAUGGAUCCGCGCCGCAUUAGCUAGUUGGUAAGGUAACGGCUUACCAAGGCGACGAUGCAUAGCCGACCUGAGAGGGUGAUCGGCCACACUGGAACUGAGACACGGUCCAGACUCCUACGGGAGGCAGCAGUAGGGAAUCUUCCGCAAUGGGCGAAAGCCUGACGGAGCAACGCCGCGUGAGUGAAGAAGGUCUUCGGAUCGUAAAACUCUGUUAUAAGGGAAGAACAAAUGUGUAAGUAACUAUGCACGUCUUGACGGUACCUAAUCAGAAAGCCACGGCUAACUACGUG